rnacentral:rRNA from 1 species
AUUGAACGCUGGCGGCAGGCCUAACACAUGCAAGUCGAGCGGGAACUUCGGUUCUAGCGGCGGACGGGUGAGUAAUGCGUAGGAAGCUACCCGACAGAGGGGGAUACCAGUUGGAAACGACUGUUAAUACCGCAUAAUGUCUACGGACCAAAGUGUGGGACCUUCGGGCCACAUGCUGUCGGAUGCGCCUACGUGGGAUUAGCUAGUUGGUGAGGUAAUGGCUCACCAAGGCGACGAUCCCUAGCUGGUUUGAGAGGAUGAUCAGCCACACUGGAACGGAGACACGGUCCAGACUCCUCCGGGAGGCGGCAGUGGGGAAUAUUGGAAAAUGGGCGAAAGCCUGAUCCAGCCAUGCCGCGUGUGUGAAGAAGGCCUUCGGGUUGUAAAGCACUUUCAGUAGGGAGGAAGAGUUGAGUGUUAAUAGUACUCAGCUUUGACGUUACCUACAGAAGAAGCACCGGCUAACUCUGUGCCAGCAGCCGCCGUAAUAC